rfam:Oryza nivara chromosome 4, whole genome shotgun sequence.
AAAAAUACAAACCCUGAGUUUCCGUGUCUAAUAUUUGACUGUCCGUCUUAUAUAAUUUUUCUAAUAAUUAGUAUUUUCAUUGUUGUUAGAUGAUAAAAUAUAAUUAAUACUUUAUGCGUGAUUUGUCUUUUUAAUUUUUUUAAUAAUUUUUUAAAUAAGACGGACGGUCAAACGUUGUACAUGGAAACCCAGGGUUUGUUUUAUU